GUGUAGAGAAUAGGAUGGUUAUAUAUGGAAAAGUAAGGUUCUUUAGGGAUUAUAAUGGUGUAUUGUGAUUGGAUGAGGAAAUGAAGGGUUAAGGAUUCAUUUUGAGGGUUUAGGGAAUGUCUUUGAUGUUUGCACAUGUCCCUAGGUUUAUUGCAGCCAUGAAAGGCACUAUUUGAGGUUGUAGCAUUCUGGAGCCUAAAAUCCAUUUGGGCUUAUUGCUUAGGCCAUGUGGGCUUAGCUUUGGGCUAGCCGUGAGCUAAGCCCAUGUAGACUUGGC
rnacentral:lncRNA from 1 species